CGACAGUGUCUAGGGUUUACCGAAAAUGGUGCGACAAACAAAAACAUCCAGUCAACGGCAGUCCUGUGCGCGGAAACAGCUAGUUGAUGAGAGAGGUCGAAGGAGAAUGGCAAGAAUUGUGCAAGCUAACAGUUGGGUCACAAACCGAUAAAUAACGGCGCAGAACAGCAUCUCGGAACGCACAACUCAUCAAUCUUUGUCAGAUGGGCUAUUGCAGCAGACGACCAACACUGGACAAUUGAGGAGCGGAAUAUUUUUUGUCUAACAUGACAGUGAGUUCAGUUUGAGCGGCCUGCGCAGUCCCCAGACCUCAAACCAAUAGAGCAAUUUUGGGAUGAAAUGGAAUGGGCUUUUUGCAGCAUGAAUGUAACAUUGUCCAAUCUGCAGCAACUGCGUGAUGUCAGCAUGUACCAACAUCCCUGUGGAAUGUUUCCGACAUCUUGUAGAAUGCUCCAAAGAAUUCAGGCUGUUCUGGAGGCAAAGGGGGGUCCGACCCGGUACUAGAUGGGUGAACCUAAUAAACUGGCCGCUCUUCAAUGACCUGUUCAAGAACAACGCCAACUGAUCGGAGAGAGCAGAGAAGAAACACAACCAGAACUACUUCAUGAAGAUGAUCACUGUGGAAGGGGUCUAUUUUAUGUACAGUAUGUGAAAAGUUAGAUGCACAAAUAUUAUACACCCCCAGUAAGUAUGGCACCCAGGGUAUUCAGUGCAGUACACUGCACAACAUAGUUUACCACAAUUCAUCAACAACUUUUAAGGGCUGUUUGACUGUACUGUAUGAUUUAAACAGAAGUAAACACAUUUCAGUUCAGUGAUGAAAAGACCAGAUUAGGAUGUGUCAGAGUUUGUAUUCAUUUGCGUCUAUUUUCCUCAGUUGACUGGACCUGGUUCUUUUAGAACUGUUUCCUGAACUGAACAAGCAAGGACAGCAGGAGACUGCUUCUAACAUGGCUCCAUGGACGUGGCAAGAGGAUUGUCAGGCUUUAGUCUCUGCUUCAUCUGCUGCAUGUUGUUGGAAUAAACUGUAUACAGCACUUAAACCACUCAUACCGCUGCACUUGUGAUAAUUUUUACUGAUUCAUAAAACAAUAAUACUGAAAAGGAUGUGACUGAACAUGAUUGUGAUAAUAAAAGAAAAACGUCUGAAGACUCAUUAAUCAAACUUGGUCGCUGCUUUUGUAAACUUCCCCAUAUUGUUUCUUGUCUGGCCUUGUCACACCCUGAUCUGGUUCACAUGUCCUUGUGAUUGUCUCCACCCCCUCCAGGUGUCGCUUAUUAUCCCCGGUGUAUAUAUCCCUGUGUUUCCUGUCUCACUGUGCCAGUUCCUCUUGUUUGCCAAGUCAACCAGCGGUUUUCCUUGCUCCUAUUUUUCCCAGUCUCUGUUUGUUUCUAGUCCUUCUGGUUUCAACCCUUGCCUGUACUGACUCCGAACCCACCUGCCUGACCACUCUGCUUGUUCUGACCAACAGCCUUCCUAUCCCCUUGUACUGUUUUGGACUCGAUCUGGUUUCUGACCCCUGCCUGGCCUGAUCUUGAGACUGCCUAUCGCCUGGUACUGUUUGAACUCUGACCCGGGUUAUGAACUCUCGCCUGUCCCCGACCUGCCUUUGCCUACUCCCUUUGUUAUAAUAAAUAUCGGAGCUCUACCAUAUGCCUCCUGUGUCUGCAUUUGGGUCUCGCCUUGUGCCCUUAUAGGCCUAUAAUUAUCAUGAAGUAAACAUGCGCAUGUUCAGAGCCAUGACUCAUUUUAGUCUGCACUCUGCCGCUGUCAUUGGCAGCUUGCAGUCCUGCCUUUCCGGAAAGACUUGGAAAUAGUGAUGUUUUAAUGGCAUGGGUUUUUACAUG
ensembl:lncRNA